rnacentral:SRP_RNA from 2 species
UGUUGGUUCUCCCGCAACGCUACUCUGUUUACCAGGUCAGGUCCGGAAGGAAGCAGCCAAGGCAGAUGACUCGUGUGCCGGGAUGUAGCUGGCAGGG